rnacentral:rRNA from 1 species
UACGUAGGGGGCUAGCGUUGUUCGGAAUCACUGGGCGUAAAGGGUGCGCAGGCGGAUUUUUAAGUCAGGUGUGAAAUCCCGAGGCUCAACCGCGGAACUGCCUUUGAUACUGGGGAUCUUGAGUACGGAAGAGGUGAGUGGAACUGCGGGUGUAGCGGUGAAAUUCGUAGAUAUUCGCAAGAACACCGGUGGCGAAGGCGGCUCACUGGGCCGGAACUGACGCUGAGGCACGAAAGCGUGGGGAGCAAACAGG